ensembl:lncRNA
GGUGCUAACUUGGAAGCUUGAGCAGAGGGGAUGGUAGGGCCGAUGAACUGGGGGGAUUGAUAAUGAAACAGGAAGGCUUUCCUCACCAAAUGCCCAGCUGGUGCCUGGAAGCUGGUCGGGAUCCAGAGCCUAGUUCACAGAUUAGAGGACCCUGCAGUGAGUUGGCAGUCUCCGCGGGCGGGGCCGUUGAACAGGGGUUUGCCCUAUUCUGGAUGGUCUGAAGGAAGAUGUUAAUUACGAAAGAACAUCCGGUUCUUGGCAUUCUGUGUAGAAGAAAUCAAUGAUUUUGAAGACCCUAAAGAGAAUCACUGAUUUUGCGGAGGCUUAAUAAAAAGUCAACAAUCAAACAAAAGCCUUUUCCCCUCUGAAUCAUUAUAUGCUGUUGUUCCUGAACAUCUGGGCGGAGGGGAGGUCUGCCUUCACGUGGGCCUCCUCAAAGUACUGCUUCUCGGGCUGUAGCUGUGUCUCUGUUUAUGCCUCAUUUGGAACUGAAGCCAUCAUUCCAAGAUUCUCUUUCUGGAGCUGCCACUAACUAUGUGGGUGAAUUAUUUUCCAACUUUGAACUUCAGUUUUCAAAAUGGAACAAGUCAGGCGAGACUUGCUGUAAUUGAUGAAAGUCGAUGAAAAUACCACUCAGAUUUAGGGCUUAAUCGUAUACUCUUCUGUUGUUUCCUGGGUAUCCAUCUCGUCUUGACAGCCAGCUCUUCAAGCAGGGGGACAGUGUCACACUCCAUGGGAAAGAGCAUAAAAUGUAGAAGCAGAAGCCGUGGGUUCAGGCCCCAGCUCUGUGACCCGGCAGCUCAUGUCGCCUUUGGUGAGUCAGUGAACCUCUGCCAUGCAUGCUCUCCUCCACUGUAAAACUAGCUGAUGGACCCAAAACACAGGGUAAUUUUGAGGACUAAGGGAAAUAAUCAUUAACACAGCACUUGAUAAAUUUUAAAAAAGGAUGUUCAUUAUGGUUAUUUGUGUUGCCCCAGAGCCCUGCCAUGUGCAACGUUAAAUAAGUUUUGUUGAAUGCUGUCUAAGAACAAAGCUCAGACUUUUGCCUUUACUGAUUUUAAAAUCACUGAAGAAGAGUAUUGUUGGUAUAUAAUUGAAACUGAUUUCAUUUCCAAUGCAAAA